AUUGAACGCUGGCGGCAGGCCUAACACAUGCAAGUCGAGCGAGCGGCGGACGGGUGAGUAAUGUAUGGGGACUGCCCGAUAGAGGGGGAUAACUACUGGAAACGGUAGCUAAUACCGCAUACUAUCGGAUAACCCAUAUGGGAGUAGCUAGUAGGUGAGGUAAUGGCUCACCUAGGCGACGAUCCCUAGCUGGGCUGAGAUGAUGAUCAGCCACACUGGAGCUGCGCGACUGCCCAGACUCCUACGGAGGCAGCAGUGGGGGUUAUUGAUGGAUGGGCACAAUCCUGAUGCAGCCAUGCCGCGUGUAUGAAGAAGGCCCUAAGGUUGUAAAGUACUUUCAGUCGGGAGGCGUUACCAACAGGAGAGGCACCGGCUAACUCCGUGCCAACAGCCGCGGUAAUUC
rnacentral:rRNA from 1 species